CUCGGGAGGUUGAGGUGGAAGAAUCACUUGAACCUGGAGGCAGAGCGUGCAGGGAGCCGAGAUCGCACCAUUGCACCCCAGCCUGGGCAACAAGGGUGAAACUCCAUCUCAA